GAAUUUUGGACAAUGGGCGAAAGCCUGAUCCAGCAAUGCCGCGUGCAGGAUGAAGGCCUUCGGGUUGUACACUGCUUUUGUACGGAACGAAAAGCUUUGGGUUAAUACCCUGGAGUCAUGACGGUACCGUAAGAAUAAGCACCGGCUCACUACGUUCCAGCAGCCGCGGUAAUACGUAGGGUGCAAGCGGUAACCGGAAGUACUGGGCGGAAAGCGUGCGCAGGCGGUUUUGUAAGACAGAGGUGAAAGCCCCGGGCUGAACCGGGGAACUGCCUUUGUGACUGCAAGGCUAGAGUACGGCAGAGGGGGGUGGAAUGCCGCGUGUAGCAGUGAAAUGCGUAGAUAUGCGGAGGAACACCGAUGGCGAAGGCAACCCCCUGGGCCUGUACUGACGCUCAUGCACGAAAGCGUGGGGAGCAAAC
rnacentral:rRNA from 1 species